rnacentral:lncRNA from 1 species
CCUUGAGAAAUAUGCACACGCAAGCUAUCCAAUAUCAUCUCGAGAUGCAAGAAUAUAUGCUAACAUCUGUCAGAGAUACUUGCCUAUCUUGAGAUUCAAUAACAUAUGGUAACAUCUGUUAGAGACCCCUAUCUAUCCAUUUUACCAGAAAUGCUACUUCGCUCAAUUCGAUCCUGUGGAACUCGCGGAUGAUGCUCUCCAAUGCAUCGGGCUCUCCUCCAAUUUUGAUGAUAGCCAAACCGAAGUCGUGGAACCUCUCUGCAAGCAUAAAGAAAUCAGAAAAUCAAAGAGUUUUUCACUUGUUUCCAUUAGAAAACUAUGCAACCAAAUCACACACUACUACAACACUAUCAGCAACAUGUCUAUUUUACUGCACAUAUACUAUAUUGAUCACUGUUUUGCAGAUCGAAUUAACAGUAAAAAUCCCGGCCACCACUUCUGCUGGACUUUAUCACGCCCUCUGUUUGAUCUACGACCGGCGGAAUCGGAUGGCCGAUGCGCCAUCUCCGACCCUGACCUAGCCGCUGCUGUUGGAUCCGCGAGGGGGGGGGGUACCGGUGCUGGUCCUGAGUGUCAGCGGCGAGGACGCCGCCGUCGUAGCAGACGCCCAUGAUGGUGAUGCCCAUCCGGUGCUCCCCGUCGGUGCGUGCGUCGGUGGAGGAGGAGCCCAUGAGCGAGGCGGCGUCCAUGGCGGAAAUCUAAUACAAUUACAACAAAACCAAUAGUGAAAUGAUGCAAAAGGAUUUACCUGAGUACAGGGACUACCACAGGUAAAGAGAAACCAUUCUCUGACAAAACACAAAACUGAUGGGAAAUAAAAAUCAAAUCAAGCAGAACUGGGGACAAUACUAACUGCAAAUGGAAUACAUUCGGUGCUUCAACAUAUUUCCUGGUAAAGAAUUUAAAGAAAGAAAUUUAUUACAAAUACCAUCGAUAUGUCAAUCAAAUGCUGAAAAAAUAGUAUUAUGUAAUACAAAAGUAUUAGAAGUGAUGGAAGAUGGAUUCAAAACACCAAUGACAUGCACUCGUAUUUUUAAGUCUUCAUACUAUAGAGUUAUCUACCUGCAAGUUAUAUGCGCAUAAAUGAUCACAACAGUUAGAUAGCACCUACACAUGGGAUUAGAUAUUUAAUUCACAUAAUCAGUUCUUCUGCUUCCAUAAAUUCAGAAUUGCAUAAAAAAGUAUGUGUCUAUCGAGUAUAGAUAAUGAUUUGAAUUGUUGACGCAUGGCCAAUGGAGCCGUCCACUUGCCAAGUGCUUUUCUAGCAUGGACGACGUGCACAUGGUGCAAAGCUGGCUGAACGAGUUGAUAGAUCAGAUCCCAGCAAGACUCGCACAUGCUUAAUGUUGGUUGCUUGCCCUUGCCUUGAUUGAUUCACACACUGGCAAGGUUGCACACAUAGAGGAAGACUCGAUGGAUUCUUGCCGGCUAGAAACAAACACAAGCAAGCACGCAGGUGAUGCCGAUUUCUUUGCAACGAAUGCGUGUCGCUUGAAGCAGCGGUGGGAAAACAAUAUGUAUAUAGUGAUUUUACCUCAUAAAUUGUUUGGUGGCUCCACUCCAUAAGUAUGAAAUUCGUGAUGUUGGCAAC